UGGAUGCUUUUGUCCAUUUUCCUGGUUUGACAUUCUGCGCCAGAGUGCCCUCCGGCUUCGAGUAUGAAUGAAACACAUCACAUGAGUGUUUAACGCUCCGCCAAAGUGCCCUUGUCUGUACAGCUAACCAGUCCUGCGCGGUCCAGCAAACCAGCUUUUGCUCUGGCUCCCACAUGGACAAGUCAAUUGGACACUGCAUAUUCAUCCACAAUGAUGGCCACGUGUAGUCGGAGUCUCGUAUUUGAGGAACCACAUGAUGAAUCUACUGUGAUGGAUCUUAGUGCAACCUCAGUGUUUGAUGUCAGCAUGUCCUCAGAGCCUGCUGUCGAUCCCGUAGACACCAGCUUUGUGCCAUAUUCAAUCCCCUCCACCACCACCACUGGGA